UAAUUGAAGAGUUUGAUCAUGGCUCAGAUUGAACGCUGGCGGCAGGCCUAACACAUGCAAGUCGAGCGGCAGCGGGAAGGUAGUUUACUAUCUUUGCCGGCGAGCGGCGGACGGGUGAGUAAUGCCUAGGGAUCUGCCCAGUCGAGGGGGAUAACAGUUGGAAACGACUGCUAAUACCGCAUACGCCCUACGGGGGAAAGGAGGGGACCUU
rnacentral:rRNA from 1 species